GACGAACGCUGGCGGCGUGCUUAACACAUGCAAGUCGAACGGAAAGGCCCUGCUUUUGUGGGGUGCUCGAGUGGCGAACGGGUGAGUAACACGUGAGUAACCUGCCCUUGACUUUGGGAUAACUUCAGGAAACUGGGGCUAAUACCGGAUAGGAGCUCCUGCUGCAUGGUGGGGGUUGGAAAGUUUCGGCGGUUGGGGAUGGACUCGCGGCUUAUCAGCUUGUUGGUGGGGUAGUGGCUUACCAAGGCUUUGACGGGUAGCCGGCCUGAGAGGGUGACCGGCCACAUUGGGACUGGGAUACGGCCCCGACUCCUACGGGAGGCAGCAGUGGGGAAUAUUGCACAAUGGGCGGAAGCCUGAUGCAGCAACGCCGCGUGCGGGAUGACGGCCUUCGGGUUGUAAACCGCUUUCGCCUGUGACGAAGCGUGAGUGACGGUAAUGGGUAAAGAAGCACCGGCUAACUACGU
rnacentral:rRNA from 1 species